rnacentral:rRNA from 1 species
ACGGGUGAGUAACACGUGGAUAACCUACCUAUAAGACUGGGAUAACUUCGGGAAACCGGAGCUAAUACCGGAUAACAUAUUGAACCGCAUGGUUCAAUAGUGAAAGGCGGCUUUGCUGUCACUUAUAGAUGGAUCCGCGCCGUAUUAGCUAGUUGGUAAGGUAACGGCUUACCAAAGCAAUGAUACGUAGCCGACCUGAGAGGGUGAUCGGCCACACUGGAACUGAGACACGGUCCAGACUCCUACGGGAGGCAGCAGUAGGGAAUCUUCCGCAAUGGGCGAAAGCCUGACGGAGCAACGCCGCGUGAGUGAUGAAGGUCUUCGGAUCGUAAAACUCUGUUAUCAGGGAAGAACAAAUGUGUAAGUAACUGUGCACAUCUUGACGGUACCUGAUCAGAAAGCCACGGCUAACUACGUGCCAGCAGCCGCGGUAAUACGUAGGUGGCAAGCGUUAUCCGGAAUUAUUGGGCGUAAAGCGCGCGUAGGCGGUUUUUUAAGUCUGAUGUGAAAGCCCACGGCUCAACCGUGGAGGGUCAUUGGAAACUGGAAAACUUGAGUGCAGAAGAGGAAAGUGGAAUUCC